rnacentral:tRNA from 1 species
GGGUGGUUAGCUCAGCUGGGAGAGCGUCUGCCUUACAAGCAGAGGGUCACAGGUUCGAGCCCUGUACCGCCCACCA